rnacentral:rRNA from 1 species
UACGGGGGGGGGCAAGCGUUGUUCGGAAUUACUGGGCGUAAAGGGCUCGUAGGCGGCCAACUAAGUCGGAUGUGAAAUCCCCCAGGCUUAACCUGGGAACUGCAUCCGAUACUGGAUGGCUUGAAUCCGGGAGAGGGAUGCAGAAUUCCAGGUGUAGCGGUGAAAUGCGCAGAUAUCAGGAGGAACACCGGUGGCGAAGGCGGUUCUCUGGGAAUGACCUGACGCUGAGGAGCGAAAGUGUGGGGAGCGAACAGG